AUUGAACGCUAGCGGCAGGCCUUACACAUGCAAGUCGAACGAGUGGCGGACGGGUGAGUAAUGUCUCGGAAACUGCCCAGUAGAGGGGGAUAACUACUGGAAACGGUAGCUAAUACCGCAUACCAUCGGAUCUGCCCAGAUGGGAUUAGCUAGUAGGUGGGGUAAAGGCUCACCUAGGCGACGCUCCCUAGCUGGUGUGAGAGGAUGACCAGCCAAACUGGAACUGAGACACGGUCCAGACGCCUACGGGAGGCAGCAGUGGGGAAUAUUGGACAAUGGGCGCAAGCCUGAUGCAGCCAUGCCGCGUGUAUGAAGAAGGCCUUCGGGUUGUAAAGUACUUUCGGCGGGGAGGCGUUACCCGCAGAAGAAGCACCGGCUAACUCCGUGCCAGCAGCCGCGGUAAUAC
rnacentral:rRNA from 1 species